AGCUAGUCCUGGGGACAGCCCCCUCUGCACUGAGACAGGCGACAACUGCAGGAUGAACCAUUUCCUUUAACAGUUGCAUCAGCCCCCUCUCUGAAGAAAACAUAAAGCUUCUGAAGCCAAGCCACCUUGAAAUUUGGGAAGCAGCUUUUCUAGCUGAAGUUUGUCUUUGCUGCAGCAGAGCAACCUAAAGCACUUGACUAUUACUCACUUAGGGGGACUUUUUCCAGUUAGCAGUUGUUUCACUUUUGCUUUCUUCCUGACAGAAACUAAUCUCCCUUCUGAAUGUCCAUUGUAAAAGAAACUGAGUAACAGACCAUGAAACUGCUUAGAAGAUAGAAAAUAUCUACAAAAAUACAGAAAAUAUCUACAAAAGGA